rnacentral:rRNA from 1 species
GGCUCAGGAUGAACGCUGGCGGCGUGCUUAACACAUGCAAGUCGAACGAAGCACUUUUUCUUGAUUCUUCGGAUGAAGGAGAUAGUGACUGAGUGGCGGACGGGUGAGUAACGCGUGAGCAACCUGCCUCUGUGUGUGGGAUAACGUCUGGAAACGGACGCUAAUACCGCAUGAAGCAACGGAAUCGCAUGUUUCUGUUGCCAAAGAUUUAUUGCACAGAGAUGGGCUCGCGUCUGAUUAGAUAGUUGGUGGGGUAACGGCCUACCAAGUCGACGAUCAGUAGCCGACCUGAGAGGGUGAUCGGCCACAUUGGGACUGAGACACGGCCCAAACUCCUACGGGAGGCAGCAGUGGGGAAUAUUGGGCAAUGGGGGAAACCCUGACCCAGCAACGCCGCGUGGAGGAAGAAGGUUUUCGGAUCGUAAACUCCUGUCCUCAGGGAAGAGCAGAAGACGGUACCUGAGGAGGAAGCCCCGGCUAACUACGUG